rnacentral:rRNA from 1 species
UAGUCCACGCUGUAAACGAUGAGAACUAGCUGUUGGGUAUUAAUAUUUAGUGGCGCAGUUAACGCGAUAAGUUCUCCGCCUGGGGAGUACGGCCGCAAGGUUAAAACUCAAAUGAAUUGACGGGGGCCCGCACAAGCGGUGGAGCAUGUGGUUUAAUUCGAUGCAACGCGAAGAACCUUACCUACCCUUGACAUCCUGCGAAUCCUGUAGAGAUACGGGAGUGCCUUCGGGAAUGCAGAGACAGGUGCUGCAUGGCUGUCGUCAGCUCGUGUUGUGAAAUGUUGGGUUAAGUCCCGUAACGAGCGCAACCCUUGUCCUUAGUUGCCAUCAUUUAGUUGGGGACUCUAAGGAGACUGCCGGUGACAAACCGGAGGAAGGUGGGGACGACGUCAAGUCAUCAUGGCCCUUACGGGUAGGGCUACACACGUGCUACAAUGGGUAGUACAGAGGGUCGCGAACCUGCGAAGGAAAGCUAAUCCCAUAAAACUACUCGUAGUCCGGAUUGGAGUCUGCAACUCGACUUC